UCUACUUUUGAUUCCCACAGCACAGGCAGUAACUGCUACUGGUUUUGGGAUAGAUACAAUGAUCUGGCACUUGAAGACUUUCAAACUGGUUGAAUCACAAGUGACUUGCACAAAUAGCAAGUCCUCAGAGGGUUUGAAUGCCAAUCUUUAGUUUUUGUGGGAUACAGACAAAUUCAUCAUUGUGUGUACUGGCAUUAAUACACAAAUAACCCAUUGUUCGUUUGAGUUUAACUUCAUUGUAUCACUUUCAGGCUUGGCAAGAUGCAGCUGUAGACAUUUACGAGCGACUGCUGGUGCUAUUUGAACUGGUGUGGUUCGGGGUCGCGCCUGAGGUCAAAGCAGAUGCGUCUAAGAAAGAAGCUCUUUUUUUUCCACUAUGGGUUAUAGGACACUAUAUGCUAUGUGUAAGUGGUCUAUACAUUCCCUCCUCUUCAGCAGGACUGCAUGUCUGUCAAACUAUGUUGUAUUAAUGUUUUUAAAGUAUAUGUGCAAUUUUAACUUGAAGGUAUAUACUAUGAAACAUGCUAUUUUUUCUAGUUUAGACUGCAUAUUCCCUGCAUGUAGGUGAUGAGGCCUCGACAGAGAGAGUUGGUCUAUCUGGACUCUAUGUACCAUAAGACUGCGGGAGAAUUUGGAGACAUGUCCUACCAAAAUGUCCUAAGGUUACUUAAUGAAGACGUGCGUUUUGGCAGCCAUGUUCCCCUGGCCAGCCUUUGUUUUGUUUCAUUUGGUGGUCAUGUUCUCUGGCCUGCAGUUUACAGGAACACUUUAUGUGUGACUUUAGUGUAUGUACUGUUUAGUGUAUGUACAUGCUUCAGUUCUAGUGUUCCAAGCAUGAUAAAACAAAACAGAGGACUUCAUUCACCAUCCUUUUUUUUAUAGGAAACUUGGACAGAAUCUUGUCCCUGGAAAAUGGUCAGAAAAAAACUGGAAGUGAUUUAGUGAAAGUGAAAGUGAAAGUGAAACUGACGUGACAUACAGCCAAGGAGUUCCUGUGCAAGAUUAUGGGAAUGACUGUGGUAUCUUCAUGAUCAUGUACAUCUGGUAUAUGGCAAUGGAGGCUUAUUUUGAUUUCACUGUGUCACGGGAAAAGAUUUGCACAUUGGACUGAAGAUGGUAUACAAAAUCUUAAGGGAACUUUUACACCCGUCUUCCACAUACCAAGGAAAAGAAAAUGUCCAGACCCCACAAAGGAUGGCAAGCCAACCAAAAGAAUCCAGACAAAAAAACAUUAUGAAAUGGGCACAACACAGAAAUGGGUACAUCUAUUGUAUGUACAGAUAAAUGAAUAGUUCCCCCAAAUGUGUGUAUGAACUUUGCUAAACGUGUGUGUGUGCAAUUUAAAUUAAAAAAGAGCUUUAUUUAUGUCCGUUCUAAUUCAAAAUUGGAUCACUUCAAAAAACAUUUAUUAACCUGUGUGUGUGUAUUACAAGUAAACUUUGAACAUUGACAUCCUAUGAUCAAUUAAAACUGUCAUUUUAAUGAUUGAAAUAUUUUGAAUAACAAAAAACAUUAGAAAAAUUAAAUACAUUCAUGUCUCUCUUUUUUAUUCAUUUUACAUUAUAGCCAUGAAGACAUACAUUGAACCACUUCAAAAAGCAUAUACAUUUACAGUAUAUCUGACAUUAUUUUACAGUGUAUAUGGUAUCAUGACACUUAACCAAUAAAGUGUGCGAGGUUGUUUUUUUUUU